rnacentral:rRNA from 1 species
GACGAACGCUGGCGGCGUGCUUAACACAUGCAAGUCGAACGGUAAGGCCUUUCGGGGUACACGAGUGGCGAACGGGUGAGUAACACGUGGGUGAUCUGCCCUGCACUUUGGGAUAAGCCUGGGAAACUGGGUCUAAUACCGAAUAGGACCAUGGACUUCACGGUUUGUGGUGGAAAGCUUUUGCGGUGUGGGAUGGGCCCGCGGCCUAUCAGCUUGUUGGUGGGGUAAUGGCCUACCAAGGCGACGACGGGUAGCCGGCCUGAGAGGGUGACCGGCCACACUGGGACUGAGAUACGGCCCAGACUCCUACGGGAGGCAGCAGUGGGGAAUAUUGCACAAUGGGCGCAAGCCUGAUGCAGCGACGCCGCGUGAGGGAUGACGGCCUCGGGUUGUAAACCUCUUUCUAGCACAGACGAAGCGCAAGUGACGGUAUGUGCAGAAGAAGGACCGGCCGAACUACGUGCCAGCAGCCGCGGUAAU